rnacentral:rRNA from 1 species
UACGGGGGGAGCAAGCGUUGUUCGGAUUUACUGGGCGUAAAGGGCGCGUAGGCGGCCACCGCAAGUCAAUUGUGAAAUCUCCGGGCUUAACUCGGAAAGGUCAACUGAUACUGCGGGGCUAGAGUGCGGAAGGGGCAACUGGAAUUCUCGGUGUAGCGGUGAAAUGCGUAGAUAUCGAGAGGAACACCUGCGGCGAAGGCGGGUUGCUGGGCCGACACUGACGCUGAGGCGCGAAAGCGUGGGGAGCGAACAGG